rnacentral:rRNA from 1 species
GCGAAAGCGUUAAGCAUCCCACCUGGGGAGUACGCCGGCAACGGUGAAAUUCAAAGGAAUUGACGGGGGCCCGCACAAGCGGAGGAACAUGUGGUUUAAUUCGAUGAUACGCGAGGAACCUUACCCGGGCUUGAACUGCAGGAGAACGAUCCAGAGAUGGUGAGGUCCUUCGGGACUCCUGUGAAGGUGCUGCAUGGUUGUCGUCAGCUCGUGCCGUGAGGUGUCGGCUUAAGUGCCAUAACGAGCGCAACCCCUUUCCUCAGUUGCCAUCAGUUCGAGCUGGGCACUCUGGGGACACUGCCACCGCAAGGUGUGAGGAAGGUGGGGAUGACGUCAAAUCAGCACGGCCCUUACGUCCGGGGCUACACACGUGUUACAAUGGGGGGUACAGAGAGCCGGUGGCGCGCAAGCUCCAUCCAAUCCUUAAAGCCCUCCUCAGUUCGGACUGGGGUCUGCAACCCGACCCCACGAAGCUGGAUUCGCUAGUAAUCGCGCAUCAGCCAUGGCGCGGUGAAUACGUUCCCGGGCCUUGUACACACCGCCCGUCAAGCCAUGAAAGCCGGGGGUGCCUGAAGUCCGUGACCGGAAGGAUCGGCCUAGGGCAAAACUGGUGAUUGGGGCUAAGUCGUAACAAGGUA